UACGUAGGGGGCAAGCGUUGUCCGGAUUUAUUGGGCGUAAAGAGCGUGUAGGCGGCCAGGUAGGUCUGCUGUGAAAACUCGAGGCUCAACCUCGAGACGCCGAUGGAAACCAUCGAACUAGAGUCCGGAAGAGGAGAGUGGAAUUCCUGGUGUAGCGGUGAAAUGCGCAGAUAUCAGGAAGAACACCCGUGGCUAAGGCGGCUCUCUAGUACGGUACUGACGCUGAGACGCGAAAGCGUGGGGAGCGAACAGG
rnacentral:rRNA from 1 species